rnacentral:ncRNA from 1 species
AAAUUGUCGAAUUUAUAGACUUCCAAAAUACCUAAAAAAUGCGUAUCAUACCAGCCCUCAAAUCAGUACUAAACUGAUCCAUAAGCUAUUAUAAGAAAGUACGGUAUUUACCGUACUUUUUAUUUGGAUAUCCCUCUGGUUAAAAUUACUUCAAAUUUGUUAAUAAAAGGUUAA